rnacentral:rRNA from 1 species
AUUGAACGCUGGCGGCAUGCUUUACACAUGCAAGUCGAACGGUAACAGGCCUUCGGGUGCUGACGAGUGGCGAACGGGUGAGUAAUGCAUCGGAACAUACCCAGUCGUGGGGGAUAACGUAGCGAAAGUUACGCUAAUACCGCAUACGUCCUGAGGGAGAAAGCGGGGGAUCGCAAGACCUCGCGCGAUUGGAGUCGGCCGAUGUCAGAUUAGCUAGUUGGGUGGGGUAAACGGCCCACCAAGGCGACGAUCUGUAGCGGGUCUGAGAGGAUGAUCCGCCACACUGGGACUGAGACACGGCCCAGACUCCUACGGGAGGCAGCAGUGGGGAAUUUUGGACAAGUGGGGGAAACCCUGACUCCAGCCAUGCCGCGUGC